UGAAUUUUAUAAUAAUCCAUUAUUUUUACUAUUUAACGGUAUUUCACUAGUAUAUGUAGUGAACUAUUUUUUCCUGUAGUCAGUAUAGGUGAAAAAUUAUAUGUUUUCUCCAUCGGAAGAAUUUUCACGGGUACGCCUUCAUGUCUCCCUCCUCCCGCAAAAUGCCGCCACUGAUUUAUGUUCUACGUACCUAUAAAUAUCCAACGUAAUUUUACUGUGCCGUGCGUUUUUAUUUAGACCGAUACAGAUAAUACAAGCACGGCGGGAUAAAAAUAUACAAAUAGUAUCGAAUAUCUCGUUCAUUGCGAGAUAUCUCGGAAAGUAAUAACCCUUUUCGAAUUUGUUUUUUUUUUUAACAGUUUUAGAAACAAAUCGCUUUGAAAUGUUACAUUACAACUAUUUUUUAUUAGUCCCCUUA